UACAGAGGGGGCAAGCGUUGUUCGGAAUUACUGGGCGUAAAGGGCGCGUAGGCGGCCGCCUAAGUCAGACGUGAAAUCCCUCGGCUUAACCGGGGAACUGCGUUUGAUACUGGAUGGCUUGAGUUUGGGAGAGGGAUGCGGAAUUCCAGGUGUAGCGGUGAAAUGCGUAGAUAUCUGGAGGAACACCGGUGGCGAAGGCGGCAUCCUGGACCAAUACUGACGCUGAGGAGCGAAAGCUAGGGGAGCAAACGGG
rnacentral:rRNA from 1 species